rnacentral:rRNA from 1 species
CCUACGGGCGGCAGCAGUGGGGAAUAUUGCACAAUGGGGGAAACCCUGAUGCAGCGACGCCGCGUGAGUGAAGAAGUAUCUCGGUACGUAAAGCUCUAUCAGCAGGGAAGAAAAUGACGGUACCUGACUAAGAAGCCCCAGCUAACUCCGAGCCAGCAGCCGCGGUAAUACGUAGGGGGCAAGCGUUAUCCGGAUUUACUGGGAGUAAAGGGAGCGUAGACGGCAGCACAAGUCUGGAGUGAAAUCCCCGGGCUUAACCCCGGAACUGCUUUGGAAACUGUGCGGCUGGAGUGCAGGAGGGGUAAGCGGAAUUCCUAGUGUAGCAGUGAAAUGCGUAGAUAUUGGGAGGAACACCGGUGGCGAAGGCGGCUUACUGGACUGUAACUGACGUUGAGGCUCGAAAGCGAGGAGAGCAAACGGGAUUAGAUACCCCGGUAGUC